rnacentral:rRNA from 1 species
UGGGGAAUAUUGGACAAUGGGCGAAAGCCUGAUCCAGCAAUGCCGCGUGAGUGAUGAAGGCCUUAGGGUUGUAAAGCUCUUUUACCCGGGAUGAUAAUGACAGUACCGGGAGAAUAAGCCCCGGCUAACUUCGUGCCAGCAGCCGCGGUAAUACGAAGGGGGCUAGCGUUGCUCGGAAUCACUGGGCGUAAAGGGCGCGUAGGCGGAUCUUUAAGUCGGGGGUGAAAGCCCAGGGCUCAACCCUGGAAUUGCCUUCGAUACUGAAGAUCUUGAGACCGGUAGAGGUAAGUGGAACUGCGAGUGUAGAGGUGAAAUUCGUAGAUAUUCGCAAGAACACCAGUGGCGAAGGCGGCUUACUGGACCGGUUCUGACGCUGAGGCGCGAAAGCGUGGGGAGCAAA